rnacentral:misc_RNA from 1 species
GUGAAGAACGCAGCGAAAUGCGAUACGUAAUGUGAAUUGCAGAAUUCAGUGAAUCAUCGAGUCUUUGAACGCACAUUGCGCCCCCUGGUAUUCCGGGGGGCAUGCCUGUCCGAGCGUCAUUGCUGCCCUCAAGCACGGCUUGUGUGUUGGGCCUCCGUCCUCCUCCCGGGGGACGGGCCCGAAAGGCAGCGGCGGCACCGCGUCCGGUCCUCGAGCGUAUGGGGCUUCGUCACCCGCUCUUGUAGGCCCGGCCGGCGCUUGCCGACACAUCAAUCUUUUUUCCAGGUUGACCUCGGAUCAGGUAGGGAUACCCGCUGAACUUAAGUAUAUCAAUAAGCGGAGGA